rnacentral:lncRNA from 1 species
UAUGGGCUUAAUUAAUUAGUAUAGGGCUUAUUGGGCUUAAGGUCUAAUCCAAGAUGGACUAUGUAGAAACUAUGGCAUCAUUGAAUAUAUUGUCUGUUUUACUCAAUAAAAAUGUUUUGAUUGGACCCAAUUCUCAAGAUUGAUUAAGAAAUCUAAAAAUUAUUUUUAGAUGCUAAAAGAUACUUUAUGUCCUUGAUCAAUCUGUACCAACCCUCUCU